CCUACGGGUGGCAGCAGUGGGGGAUAUUGCACAAUGGAGGAAACUCUGAUGCAGCGACGCCGCGUGAGGGAAGACGGUCUUAGGAUUGUAAACCUCUGUCUUUGGGGAAGCAAAUGACGGUACCCAAAGAGGAAGCUCCGGCUAACUACGUGCCAGCAGCCGCGGUAAUCCGUAGGGAGCGAGCGUUUUCCGGAAUUACUGGGGGUAAAGGGGGCGUAGGCGGGCGGGAAAGGUGAAUGUUAAAUCUCCCGGCUAAACUGGUAGCGGCGUUUCAAACUUCUUGUCUGGAGUGAAGUAGAGGCAGGCGGAAUUCCUAGUGUAGCGGUGAAAUGCGGAGAUAUUAGGAGGAACACCAGUGGCGAAGGCGGCCUGCUGGGCUUUAACUGACGCUGAGGCUCGAAAGCGUGGGGAGCAAACAGGAUUAGAUACCCGUGUAGUC
rnacentral:rRNA from 1 species